rnacentral:rRNA from 1 species
AUUGAACGCUGGCGGCAGGCCUAACACAUGCAAGUCGAACGAGUGGCGGACGGGUGAGUAAUGUCUGGGAAACUGCCUGAUGGAGGGGGAUAACUACUGGAAACGGUAGCUAAUACCGCAUAACAUCGGAUGUGCCCAGAUGGGAUUAGCUAGUAGGUGGGGUAACGGCUAACCUAGGCGACGAUCCCUAGCUGGUCUGAGAGGAUGACCUGGCAGAAUGGAAGUAAAAACCGGUCAAGACCCCUAAGGGUGGGAGCAGUGGGGAAUAGUGCACAAGAGGCGCAAUCCGGGUGCAGUCAUGCCGGGGGGAAGAAAGAGGGAUUCGGGUUGUAAAGUACUUUCAGAGGGGAGGCGUUACCCGCAGAAGAAGCACCGGCUAACUCCGUGCCAGCAGCCGCGGUAAUUC